rnacentral:lncRNA from 1 species
CAUGGGGGGCAAAUUCGUUCCUCCAACCCAAUUCACAAAUUUUUUUACAUGCUUUUUCCCCUCUUUUAUUCUUUAUUCAAAUAUUAGUUUCUUACAUGCUUUUUGUUUUUUUUUUCUCUUAUCAAAUAUUAAACUAAAGGUUUGAUCUUAUAAGUUUCAUGAUAUUGUUUAUUGUUUAUUGUUUAUAUGUAUUAAUUUGUAACAUGGUAAUGAAUAGUAACAACUUUUUUUUUGUCUUUUGUGGCUUUUUUUAAACUUUAUGGUUUUUUAACAAAAUUUUGUUCUUUUUUUACCAUUUUGCCAUAAAAGUUAAAGAAGUUUAGUUUUUUAUUAGUUUUUAUUUUACGUUUUUUUUCCUGAAUUUGGUCGUCGUUCGUUUGCUACUUAGUACAGUGUUUGGUGGUCACACUUAGUCCCUCGGGUUUUUUUCACUCACUCGACUGAUAAUGAAUAGUAACAACUUUUUUUUUUGUCUUUUGUGGCUUUUUUUAAAUUUUAUGGUUUUUUAACAAAAUUUUGUUCUUUUUUUACCAUUUUGCCAUAAAAGUUAAAGAAGUUUAGUUUUUUAUUAGUUUUUAUUUUACGUUUUUUUCCUGAAUUUGGUCGUCGUUUGGUUGCUACUUAGUACAGUGUUUGGUGGUCACACUUGCUCCCUCGGGUUUUUUUCACUCACUCAACUUUCUAAACGUGUUGGUAUAAACUUUAUUUUAUUUACUUUUUACAUAACGUGAGUCACUUGGUGUUAAAAAUAUGUGGAGCAAUUAACG